GACGAACGCUGGCGGCGUGCCUAAUACAUGCAAGUAGGACGCAGUUGCGAACGGGUGAGUAAGGCGUAGGUAACUACAUAUUAGAGGGGGAUAACUAUUGGAAACGAUAGCUAAUACCGCAUACUAGUAGAAGGAACUGAGUUGUAUUAGCUAGUUGGUAGGGUACUGGCCUACCUAGGCAAAGAUACAUCGCCGACCUGGGAGGUGGAUGUGCCACACUGGGACUGAGCAACGGCCCAGACUCCUACGGGGGGCAGCAGUAGGGAAUCUUCGGUAAUGGGGGGAACCCUGACCGAGCAAAGCCGCGUGAGUGAAGAAGGUUUUCGGAUCGUAAAGCUCUGUUGUUAAGGAAGCGGUACUUAACCAGAAAGGGACGGCUAACUACGUGCCAGCAGCCGCGGUAAUAC
rnacentral:rRNA from 1 species